AAGGCCGCACACAAUUAAAUAAGCACACUAUUUAAACGCAAAAAAAACCCAAACGAGUCAGAGUAACACAAAAAUGCGUACAAGUCUAUUAGUUUUAUUUGCAGGUUUAACGAUCGCUGCUGCGGUCCCUGUAAGUCCAAUUACAUCCAUGUUGGAACGGGCACACACAACCAAUGUGCAAGUCACCGGAACUAUUGGUGUGCUUCGUGUCAUCGUGCUACUCUUUUUACACAUUAUACUCCAACCUUUGAUCGUUUUCCUCUUAAGGCAGUUGACUCUGCCGUUCCGUUUUGUCAGAUUUGUGGCGUCUUUGCCCUCUAGAUUCGUCAGAUUUAUCUUAACAGCACCGCAAAGAAUAUGGCAUUUACCAAUAACCAUAAUAAAUCUACCGCUAACUUUCAUAAAACUGGUCCGAGCGAUUGCAAAGCGAAUCAUAAGCCCUAUUUCACGAGUCAUCACUUUAAUUGUUGAAGUUUUGUCGUUUAUUUUCGGGGCCCCAGUUACGGCAUUCGACCAUAUUUACACAUACGUGUGAGAAAAAAAAUCAUAACGAAUAAUUAAUUGUUACAAUAAAAAAUUUCGUC